CUUAUUUUGUAUUGUUCUUCACCGCGCCGCAAUAAGUAAAUUCCUUUCUCUUCCCUUUCCCUCACUUUCCACACCCUCUCUCUCCUGCCUUCCUCUUCCCCACCGCCUCCCGCCUGCCGACGUCCGCGGACUGUCGACCGACGUUGAGCCAUACGAUCGAUUGGGGUUAUGCUGUAACAUAGGUGAAUUGGAGUAUUUGGUCCACCUUAUCAGUCUCCUAAUUGAUUCUGCAGCUUAUAAUUGCACCUUGUUCUUGAAUUGAAUCAGUGAAGUAAAAAAAAUUAGCCAUGUCUAGCAUAGUCAUUGGCAACAAUACUCUAGACAGAAUCAGUCAUUUGCCACCAAAUAUUAUCGAACAAAUACUCAUGCGCUUACCAUUGAGAGAUGCAAUCCGGACAAGCAUCUUAUCACAUGAUUGGAGAUAUGCAUGGAGUAGUAUUCCACACCUUGCUUUCAGUUGGCAAGAAUUCCCCCUAUCUAUAUGCAACUAUUCACAAGUUAAUUUUGACCGUAAGCUUGUAGACAUUAUUCAUCAAGUCCUACUACUCCACCAAGGACCAAUUCACAGAUUUGAACUUUCCAUUCAGUUAAGAAACUCCAAAGAUAUAGAUGGGUGGCUUCUCUUUCUUUCAAGAAAUGAUAUUAGAGAAAUAAUUCUACAUAGAUGGGAAGGAGAGGUGUAUAAGUUGCCUUCUUGUCUUCUCUCAUGUAAAGGGCUCAGGUCUCUAUCUCUGCAUAGAUGCAUGUUCAGACCUGUUCAUUUCCAAGGCUUUCCACGUCUUGCAUCUCUGUUUCUUAGAAGUGUUGCCAUUUCUCAGGAUGGGCUUGAGGCUUUAAUCACCGCUUGCCCUCUACUAAAUAAACUAUGCCUGAUAGACAUGUUUGAUUUUGGUGGUCUUAAGGUUUGUUCCCCAAGUCUGGUUAACUUGACAUUUGUUGGAGAACACAUAGAUCUUGCUUUUGAAAAUGUUCCAUUGUUAGCUACAUUGUCUGUCUCCUUAACUGUGAAGAGUGACAAGUAUUAUGCUGCCCCUGGAGUAAUUUGCAAAUUAUUUAGAAUCCUAUACCAUCUUCCCAGUAUUAAGAAGAUUGUACUGGGUGGUCAAGCAUUCAAGUCUAGGUCUGGACAUAUGGUGAGUUACCCAUCCAGCUUCCUUGCACAUAUCAGCUGAAGCAUUUUCAUGCAACUGUAAAUUUUAAGGACAUGCAAGAAAUGUUUGCCAUAGUCUCCCUGUGCAGAAGCUGCCCGUUGUUAGUGACUCUUGAGUUAGAGGCACGUUUUGUCAUGCAAGCAAAUCAUGAAACACCUGUUGAGAAAUUUUGGAAUUCACAGCAAAGUUUCGAUUGCCUAUUUAGCCAGCUCAAAAAUUUGGAAAUUACUGGCGUGAGCAGCAUACUUGAACUCCCAUUUUUGAAGUUUGUUCUUGCCAAUGCACCAGUUCUUGAGACUGCAUACAUUGGAUUCGACUACAGACUGAAGACAGAGCUCGAUAUCACAAGGGAGAUGAUCAAAUUCAGGAGAUUAUCACCUGCAGCUGAAAUAAAAAUUUUAAAGAGAAAAUUUCGGAAUGCGUCAUCUAUGUGGGCUUGAGAUCCCUUGGAAUGCUUAUAUUUCAAAUGAAGACUUUUGAAGCCUAGUAAUUCUCAUCUUUGAAUUUUGCCAUAGCAUGACGUCUCCUGUAAGUACCGGCCAGCGUGGGUAUUGUCGUAAACAACAGCAAGCAUACUCAUGUUUUUUUAGUAGAAAGACAGGGACAACUUCUUUUGGAGUUUUUUUUAAACUUGGUUUCUUGUGCAAGGUAAAUAUGGUUCCUAACAGUGUUUUCUUUUA